rnacentral:rRNA from 1 species
AUUAAUUUGUGGGCCUAAAUUAUUAGUAGUUAAGUUCUUGAAAAUUAAAAGAAAUGGCGGUAUUUUAGUCUAUUCAGAGGAAUCUGCCCUGUAAUUGAUAUUCCACGAUUUAAUUUACUUGAGUUUUUAGCUUACAUAUCGCUGUGGAUUGAAUAUUUUUUUUGAAGCUGAAUAUUCAGGAGGUUUAAUUAAAAGGAUAUCAAGUCAAGAUGUAGCUUAUAUUUAAGAAGAGGUGGAUUACAUUAAUUUUAUUUUUGGUUAAUAUAAUGAAAAAUUUAUUAUAAAUUGGAUUUGAAAGUAAUUUUCUAUUAAGAUUUAGAGGAUGAUUUUAGCUCUAAAAUA